GGUGGGGGAAAGACCUAUCCAAUGAAAACCUCUGUCAGGGGGUGUUACAUUUGAACACUGCACGCAGUGCCGCUGUCCCCUCUCUGCCCGCUGCACCCCCACCCCCAGCCCCCAGCCAGCGCUCUCUGCGGUGCUGGCUCGCCUCUCCCGCAACCGGACGAGUCCUCAACAAGUUGGAGGGAGGCAGGAGCGCAGGGGUUAAGCUCGGGAAGCUGCAAUUACCAAGAUCGUGACCCUCCCACACACUACAGUAACUUAUAUACUUACCUGGAAGAGCCCGCUUUGCCGCUGGGCAAACACCCGUGGGGGAGGGGAGGGGCAGGAGGGGAGCGGGCUGACCAGAGAGGGCCGCUUCCAGAUGGCUGAAGCGCACACCGAACCAAUGAACUCCCAAGACUCCCGGACUCAGGUGGUCAAGCCUGUCCUGAUACUGGGUGAUGGCAUGAGGGGUGACCACCCGAGGGAGGCAGUCUCAGAGGUUACGGAAGCUGGAAAGCCUGACCGAAGCAUCUCAGGAGUCCCAGGCACUUAGUUUCCUACACCGAACGGAAGUUUGGGAAUUUGGCAGUUCUGCUGGAUCAAGCAAAUGAAAGAAUUGUUUGCAGCUGGUGCUGGACCUGACGCUGUGGACUUGGUGGAAGAAGAUGAGUAUCUCUGAUGAAGAAGGUCUAUCUCUAUUCAAAGGUGUGUGGACAGCUGCCCAUCCCUGCUGGACCUUCAAAGGAGCUUGCAAGAUGUCUGUUUCUAGAGCUAGGCCAUAGCACGUAGGGGUCCUUGCAGAAGAAGGUCUACUAAAGAGCUGGUUUCCUUGAGGGGAGAGUGGGGCUGUUGUGUUUGGAUGCAGUGAUGCUCACGAAAAUACUUGACAUGAAAACCCAAUAUUCUUUUCUCAUGAUAAUGUUAUUGCUUAAGGAAAUCAAAUAGUAACUUCUAAUUAGUUUCUAAUGCUAAAGAUUUUAUUUCUUUUAAAUUAGUUUGUUUUUCAUAGAACUUUUUUUUUUUCCAACUCAGGAUUUGACAACUGGAGUGUAGAAUGGAAUAAUAGCUCAGUGUGUCCAGCUGGGAUGUAGCUCAGUUGACAGACCACUUGCCUGGUAGGUGCAAAGUGUGCUUCCCAGCACAGAGGAAAUGGCUCUGUCGGUAUCUGCCUAGGAUUCAAGCAUUCAGGAGCUGGAGGUUGGAGGUAACCAAAAGCUCAAAUGUAGGAAGUUCGGAGCCAACCUGGGCUACCUGAGACCCUGCCAAAAACAAAAAAGCAAGCACAAUGUUGAACUAUGAUCAAAUGAAGAUCAGAUAGUACAGUGGAUGACUGGACUGUUAAGAAGAAGUAAUAAAGGGUCUCCGGUUCUUGUAUCAUAGGUUUAGCUAUGAUGUUAUUCUUAAAAACUCCCAGCUUCUGUGACAUUUCCUAAUUAUGAAAUUUUCUUUUAUACACGCUACUCCCAAUUUUGCUGUGAAAAUUGGAUAUGAAUUUGUAGAUAUCAGUAUCAUAAUGUAGAAAAACUGCUAAUGAAUUCCAAUGGAAAUCUGUGUGUAUUACUACAAUACAAUGUUGUUAAUUCACAUUUUUUACAUU